rnacentral:rRNA from 1 species
CAGCAGCCGCGGUAAUUCCAGCUCCAAUAGCGGUAUAUUAAAGUUGUUGCAGUUAAAAAGCUCGUAGUUGAAUUUCGGGAUCAAUAUGCCGGUCAUGCCUUGGUAUGCACUGGUAUCUUUGAUUUCUCCCUUCUGACGAACUUUGAUGUCAUUAAUUUGGUGUCAUAGGGAAUCAGGACUGUUACUUUGGAAAAAUUAGAGUGUUUAAAGCAAGCUCACGCUUGAAUACAUUAGCAUGGAAUAAUGAAAUAGGACGUUUGAUUCUAUUUUGUUGGUUUCUAGGAUCGACGUAAUGAUUAAUAGGGAUAGUUGGGGGCAUUAGUAUUCAAUUGUCAGAGGUGAAAUUCUUGGAUUUAUUGAAGACUAACUACUGCGAAAGCAUUUGCCAAGGAUGUUUUCAUUAAUCAAGAACGAAAGUUAGGGGAUCGAAGACGAUCAGAUACCGUCGUAGUCUUAACCAUAAAUUAUGCCGACUAGGGAUCGGAUGAUGUUAAUUUUUAAUGACUC